rnacentral:rRNA from 1 species
AGUGAACGCUGGCGGUAGGCCUAACACAUGCAAGUCGAACGGCAGCACAGUAAGAGCUUGCUCUUACGGGUGGCGAGUGGCGGACGGGUGAGGAAUACAUCGGAAUCUACUUUUUCGUGGGGGAUAACGUAGGGAAACUUACGCUAAUACCGCAUACGACCUACGGGUGAAAGCAGGGGAUCUUCGGACCUUGCGCGAUUGAAUGAGCCGAUGUCGGAUUAGCUAGUUGGCGGGGUAAAGGCCCACCAAGGCGACGAUCCGUAGCUGGUCUGAGAGGAUGAUCAGCCACACUGGAACUGAGCCACGGUCCAGACUCCUACGGGAGGCAGCAGUGGGGAAUAUUGGACAAUGGGCGCAAGCCUGCUCCAGCCAUACCGCGUGGGUGAAGAAGGCCUUCGGGUUGUAAAGCCCUUUUGUUGGGAAAGAAAAGCAGCAGGUUAAUACCCCGCUGUUCUGACGGUACCCAAAGAAUAAGCACCGGCUAACUUCGUG